rnacentral:rRNA from 1 species
GACAAACGCUGGCGGCGUGCCUAACACAUGCAAGUCAAGGAGAAUGGGAGUUUUCGGAUUCCCUAGUAAACUGGCGUAAGGGUGAGGAACGCGUAGGCAAUCUGCCCUUGAGUGGGGAAUAACCCCGCGAAAGCGGGGAUAAUACCGCAUGACGUUCCGCCUCCGCAUGGAGGCGGAAUUAAAGAUUUAUCGCUCAAGGAUGAACCUGCGUCCUAUUAGCUUGUUGGUAGGGUAACGGCCUACCAAGGCGACGAUGGGUAGCUGGUCUGAGAGGAUGAUCAGCCACACUGGCACUGAGACACGGGCCAGACUCCUACGGGAGGCUG